rnacentral:rRNA from 1 species
AAUCAAUGCGGGGCGCUUCGCGUCUUGCUAUUGGAAUGAGAGCAAUGUAAAACCCUCAUCGAGGAUCAACUGGAGGGCAAGUCUGGUGCCAGCAGCCGCGGUAAUUCCAGCUCCAGAAGCGUAUGCUAAAGUUGUUGCAGUUAAAAAGCUCGUAGUUGAAUUUCUGGUGUGGGAGCCCAGGCCUCGGUGCGAAUGCGCCUUGUUUUGCCUUGCGGCUCCUUUGCCAUCCUCGUUUUUCGUAAGAAAGGCGUCAUUCACUGUAAUCAAAGCAGAGUGUUCCAAGCAGGCCGUAGGGCCGGUAUGUUUAUUAUGGGAUGAUCAGAUAGGACUCGGGUGCUAUUUUGUUGGUUUGCACAUCUGAGUAAUGAUUAAUAGGAACAGUCGGGGGUAUCCGUAUUUAGGAGCUAGAGGUGAAAUUCUUGGAUUUCCGAAAGACGAACUACAGCGAAGGCAUUUACCAAGCAUGUUUUCAUUAAUCAAGAACGAAAGUCUGGGGAUCG